UGGGGGAUAUUGCACAAUGGGCGAAAGCCUGAUGCAGCGACGCCGCGUGGGGGAUGAAGGCCUUCGGGUUGUAAACUUCUUUUGCUCUGAACAAGGCGCACCAUGGGGUGUGUUGAGUGUAGGGGUUGAUUAGCGCCGGCUAACUACGUGCCAGCAGCCGCGGUAAUACGUAGGGCGCGAGCGUUGUCCGGAAUUAUUGGGCGUAAAGGGCUUGUAGGUGGCUGGUUGCGUCUGUCGUGAAAGCUCAUGGCUUAUCUGUGGGUUUGCGGUGGGUACGGGCUGGCGUGAGUGCAGUAGGGGAGGCUGGAAUUCCUGGUGUAGCGGUGGAAUGCGCAGAUAUCAGGAGGAAUACCGGUGGCGAAGGCGGGUCUCUGGGCUGUUACUGACACUGAGGAGCGAAAGCAUGGGGAGCGAACAGG
rnacentral:rRNA from 1 species